GGGGGUGACACGGUUUCGACUUUGAGGGUUGAAGUGUCGGAAGCGAGCCGAGGUCCUCGGAUCCUCGUUAAAUAGCCGGGAACCAAAAAUAAGUGCCGACGAAAGUGUCGCACAGGCUGCUUAAUUGACAGCCCGUCCCCCCGAAGGGUGCCUGCCUCAUCGGGUCGGGGCGACGCAAUGCAGGAUGCUCCCGCCGGGUUGCCCCGACCGGCGGGUCAAGAUCAGGGGCUAGGACCGAGGGAAACUGGCCGACAGAGUCCCAUGGUUCCGAAGCUCGCUGUCGGCUGCGCUCGGAGAUGCCGACGCUGAAACCUCAGAGGACCGGGGUUCGACUCCCCGCACCUCCACGA
rnacentral:tmRNA from 1 species